rnacentral:rRNA from 1 species
UACGUAGGGUGCGAGCGUUAAUCGGAAUUACUGGGCGUAAAGCGUGCGCAGGCGGUUCGUUAUGUCCGAUGUGAAAGCCCCGAGCUUAACUUGGGAACGGCAUUGGAAACUGGCGGGCUGGAGUGCGGCAGAGGGGGGGUGGAAUUCCACGUGGUAGCAGUGAAAUGCGUAGAGAUGUGGAGGAACACCGAUGGCGAAGGCAGCCCCCUGGGCCGACACUGACGCCUCAGGCACGAAAGCGUGGGGAGCGAACAGG